AGUGAACGCUGGCGUUAGGCCUAACACAUGCAAGUCGAACGGCAGCACAGUAAGAGCUUGCUCUUACGGGUGGCGAGUGGCGGACGGGUGAGGAAUACAUCGGAAUCUACUUUUUCGUGGGGGAUAACGUAGGGAAACUUACGCUAAUACCGCAUACGACCUACGGGUGAAAGCAGGGGAUCUUCGUACCUUGCGCGAUUGAAUGAGCCGAUGUCGGAUUAGCUAGUUGGCGGGGUAAAGGCCCACCAAGGCGACGAUCCGUAGCUGGUCUGAGAGGAUGAUCAGCAACACUGGAACUGAGACACGGUCCAGACUCAUAAGGGAGGCAGCAGUGGGGAAUAUUGGACAAUGGGCGCAAGCCUGAUCCAGCCAUACCGCGUGGGUGAAGAAGGCCUUCGGGUUGUAAAGCCCUUUUGUUGGGAAAGAAAAGCAGCAGGUUAAUACCCCGCUGUUCUGACGGUACCCAAAGAAUAAGCACCGGCUAACUUCGUG
rnacentral:rRNA from 1 species